UGAUGAUAUAAGUAAGCUAUAAUGAAAUAAAUGUGAUCACGAGUGACAAAGAAUAUUAAUGAUAUGAUGUAUGUACUAUCCGUGGAUGAUUCCGAACAAUGUUAUGAUGUUAAAUAAGCACGUACCAUCCGUGGAUGAUUUCGGAUGAUGAAUGAAUGAAAUGAGGUUGAGUGUGUCCAUAUCCUUGUGCCCAUGUAUGUUCCAUCAGUAGGGAUGGUGGUUUCGUCCCACUUGUGAUUCAUGCUUACUGUGCGAUGAUGAUUUAUGGUGCCUACAAGGAUGGUGCAAUGGGGCACCACAAGACUUCGUUGUUUGCUUUAGCAAUGGGAUGUGACAUGACUCCGUCGUUUGCUGCAGCAAUGGGGCGUGAUAUGAUAUUGUAUGUUGUCUGUCGAUUGGCCACCGUACAUGACUAUGCUACAUCCAAGGAUGAUCACUCUAUAAUAUGAUGUGAUGACUAUGUAGUGGCAUGCCUUAACAUUUGAAAUGUGAAUUAUGUUACGUGAUGUUUUAGAAAUGAUGAUUAAUGUAAGGGCUUGAGGUAAGAACCGUGAAUAUUUUAUUGUAAUGUAUGAUGGAAUACAAGCUUAUCGAGCUUUAAGGACUAACGCUCACAUUGAUCGCCUAUGAGGUAAAUGUAUUAUAUACGUAAGUAGACGGUCAUAUGGUGGGCCGGUUCAUACGAUAGAGUAAGUUAAUACUCGACUUUGAUGAAUAGAUGUGGUAGGCAUGAUAAACAAAGAUCACCCUACCCUUUUUAUGCACAAUGAUGUUUAUAUGCAACAGCGUAGUACAACCAAGAUGAUGAUGAUGUGUUCAUGAAGGGUGAUGUCCAACCUGUCUUGAUAUAAGUAUGUUGAGUUUACUAUUGUAUAUGCAUGUUUAGAGGAUACGCGUAACAACUAUCCCUACACAUUUACAAUUGAUAUAUGCUCCGCUCAUUGAGUACUAGUGUAACUCACCCCCUUUGAUUGUAUUGUUCUAAUAAAUAGGCAUUGAGGAUCGGGUGGCUUAAUGUUGUUGACAUCAAACACGCAAUUUUGGGUUUAUGAACAAAGGUCUCCUCGAGUCUCGUGGGCUUACUUGCCAGGCUCGUGAGUGCCGAUCACAGAUCUUCAAAAUUGGGUCAUGACAUGAUGCUUGAUGGAAUAGCUUGUACCAAUGGAACAACAUAGUAUCUCAAUGAGCGAUUUUCUUCCAUUACUCUCUCUUGGACUUGUCGUUUUGCCUAUUGUUCAACCAUUGUAUUAAAAGAAGUAGAACCUUGUAAAUUUUUCUUUC